GACGAACGCUGGCGGCGUGCUUAACACAUGCAAGUCGAACGGAAAGGCUCCAGCUUGCUGGAGUGCUCGAGUGGCGAACGGGUGAGUAACACGUGGGCAAUCUGCCCUGCACUCUGGGAUAAGCCUGGGAAACUGGGUCUAAUACCGGAUAGGACCUUUCUCCUCAUGGGGUUUGGUGGAAAGUUUUUCGGUGCAGGAUGAGCCCGCGGCCUAUCAGCUUGUUGGUGGGGUAAUGGCCUACCAAGGCGACGACGGGUAGCCGGCCUGAGAGGGUGAUCGGCCACAUUGGGACUGAGAUACGGCCCAGACUCCUACGGGAGGCAGCAGUGGGGAAUAUUGCACAAUGGGCGAAAGCCUGAUGCAGCGACGCCGAGUGAGGGAUGACGGCCUUCGGGUUGUAAACCUCUUUCAGUAGGGACGAAGCGCAAGUGACGGUACCUGCAGAAGAAGCACCGGCUAACUACGUG
rnacentral:rRNA from 1 species